AAAUUAUUGCCUAGAUUUGGUCCACUAUGGAUCAAGAUACAAACAUUUGGGACCAUGUUUAUUUAAUAGGUUUGUUGAAUCUAUGGUAAACCAAGUUUAAGCAACAAAAAUCCUGUGAAGAUAAUAAGUAUUCUGACAUGGAUAAUCAAUUAUGACAUGAUGUUCUCUUGUAUUAUGAUCUUUGUUUCUGUUUUGUCUAGGAAGAACAUAUUUUUGUAGCAAAU
rnacentral:misc_RNA from 1 species